rnacentral:rRNA from 1 species
UACGGAGGGUGCAAGCGUUAUCCGGAUUCACUGGGUUUAAAGGGUGCGUAGGAGGGCAGGUAAGUCAGUGUUGAAAUCUUCGAGCUUAACUCGGAAACUGCCGUUGAUACUAUCUGUCUUGAAUACCGUGGAGGUGAGCGGAAUAUGUCAUGUAGCGGUGAAAUGCUUAGAUAUGACAUAGAACACCAAUUGCGAAGGCAGCUCGCUACACGAAUAUUGACUCUGAGGCACGAAAGCGUGGGGAUCAAACAGG